UACGUAGGGGGCAAGCGUUGUCCGGAAUCAUUGGGCGUAAAGCGCGUGUAGGCGGCCCGGUAAGUCCGCUGUGAAAGUCCAGGGCUCAACCCUGGAAUGCCGGUGGAUACUGUCGGGCUCGAGUCCGGAAGAGGCGAGUGGAAUUCCUGGUGUAGCGGUGAAAUGCGCAGAUAUCUGGAGGAACACCGGUGGCGAAGGCGGCAUCCUGGACCGGUAUUGACGCUGAGGCGCGAAAGCUAGGGGAGCAAACGGG
rnacentral:rRNA from 1 species